UACGUAGGGCGCGAGCGUUGUCCGGAAUUAUUGGGCGUAAAGGGCUCGUAGGCGGCUGGUCGCGUCUGUCGUGAAAUCCUCUGGCUUAACUGGGGGCUUGCGGUGGGUACGGGCCGGCUUGAGUGCGGUAGGGGAGACUGGAAUUCCUGGUGUAGCGGUGGAAUGCGCAGAUAUCAGGAGGAACACCGGUGGCGAAGGCGGGUCUCUGGGCCGUUACUGACGCUGAGGAGCGAAAGCGUGGGGAGCGAACAGGAUUAGAUACCCUGGUAGUCCACGCCGUAAACGUUGGGCACUAGGUGUGGGGGGCCUUUCCGGGUUCUUCCGCGCCGUAGCUAACGCAUUAAGUGCCCCGCCUGGGGAGUACGGCCGCAAGGCUAAA
rnacentral:rRNA from 1 species